GGCUUAAGGGUUUGUAGGCAGCUUUAAUAUGAUAUAAUAUAAUAUAGUAUAUUAUAAUAUAAAAUAUAAUAUAAUUAAAGAUUGAAUCAAAUAGAGGUCAAGAGAAUUCCUAGACUAGGGUUGAUAUCUGUAUAAGCUAGGAAGAAUUCUAAUUAGCGAAGGCACUUUUCUAUCUAAUGAUUGACGCUGAGAAACGAAGGGGAGGAUCGAAAACAGGAUUAGAUACCCUAAUAUCCCUCUCUGUAAACGAUGAAUGGAAGUUGCUAGUAAUAAUAAUUAGUGACGAUGCUAACGCGUUAACCAUUCCGCCUUGUGAGUACCACUGCAAAGUUGAAAACAAAAAAAUUAGUCGGUUUCGGAGCAAACGAAGUGAAGCAUGUUAUUUAAUUCGAUAAUCCGC
rnacentral:rRNA from 1 species